rnacentral:rRNA from 1 species
GGAUAAUCUACCCGAUAGAUCGGGAUAACAUUUCGAAAGGAAUGCUAAUACCGAAUAAGCCCACAAUGUCUUCGGACGAUGUGGGAAAAGGUGGGGACCUUCGGGCCUGCCGUUAUCGGAUGAGUCCGCGUCCCAUUAGCUAGUUGGUAGGGUAAUGGCCUACCAAGGCUACGAUGGGUAGCUGGUCUGAGAGGAUGAUCAGCCACACUGGAACUGAGACACGGUCCAG